rnacentral:rRNA from 1 species
AGCGAACGCUGGCGGCAGGCCCAACACAUGCAAGUCGAACGAACCCUUCGGGGUUAGUGGCGGACGGGUGAGUAACACGUGGGAACGUGCCUUUAGGUUCGGAAUAACUCAGGGAAACUUGUGCUAAUACCGAAUGUGCCCUUCGGGGGAAAGAUUUAUCGCCUUUAGAGCGGCCCGCGUCUGAUUAGCUAGUUGGUGAGGUAAUGGCUCACCAAGGCUACGAUCAGUAGCUGGUCUGAGAGGAUGACCAGCCACAUUGGGACUGAGACACGGCCCAAACUCCUACGGGAGGCAGCAGUGGGGAAUCUUGCGCAAUGGGCGAAAGCCUGACGCAGCCAUGCCGCGUGGAUGAUGAAGGUCUUAGGAUUGUAAAAUCCUUUCACCGGCGAAGAUAAUGACUGUAGCCGGAGAAGAAGCCCCGGCUAACUUCGUGCCAGCCGCCGCCGUAAGAC